GGCUACCGGUAAUUCCUUACAGCAUAUCUAUAUACGUAUUUAAUAUAAGAGAGCUGUAGCUGUAGACGGCCUUUAUGAAUGAUCUCCCUUGCUUAAUUUAAAUGCACACACAUUUGUGAGGUAUUAUCACACGCUGUACACACAGCUCUGGCUGUGCUUUCUACGUCUUGCAGAAGGGGGGGGCAAAAUAGUGAGAGGAGACAGCAAGAAACACAGUACAUUGCUUCGAGGCGCACGUUUCUUCGUCGCGUAUAUCUGAGACGCGGACCCGGUGCUGCGAUCAGAAUAACUUUUAGCAAAAGCUAAAAUAAUUUAAGGAAGAUUAAAUGGCGGAAGGUAAUCCCAUUUUGCCACCGGGACUGUUUCUGACGGAGCCGGGAGAACCUGUGGAGCCUUGGUCACAGUGGUCUGACAGACUUAUCGCUUACAUAGAUGCCACGGGACUGAUGGACCAGCCCGAUAACAUAAAGAGAGAAAUCCUACUGAACUGCCUGGGUCUUGAGGGCCAGCGCGUUUUUUCGACUCUGGAAGCAGGACCGUCUUUUAAGGAUGCGAUAGAGAAACUGACCGAGCACUUCGAGCCGCCUGACAUUUCCUCGCAGCGGUUCCCAGAGCGCACAGAGAGGGAGAGCUGGAAUUGCGUCCACUGUGUCAGCCGAGCCUGUGCCUCGUUUUUCUCCAGCAUCUGCCGCCUCAUUAGGGAAGGCAGCUGGCAUGAACACGGACCGCAGUUGCCUGCUGAAAAUAAAAACACUUCAACAGAACCUGCUGUGGAGAUGAUCGCUGUCCUGGAAACACAGCCGCUGCCAAGACGGAGCUCUGUCAGGCCUUGGUUAUGAGCCCUAAGCCUUGGAGAUGAAAAGCCAUAUUGCUACAGUGCUACGUUGCUGCACAUCUAUUUUUGCAGGUCAACAUGAAUGCUAUUUUUUUUAUGUUGGCUGUAGUGAAGCCAGUAUCUGUGACAAAGCAAUCCACUACUUGUACUUAUUUGGGUAGCUCAACAAUUGUUUUUUGCCAAAAAUGAAUCAUAAUAUAAGAAAUAUUUCUACAGAGUUUUAAUGAAGAACCUUUUAAAGUAUUUUUAUGCAUACCUUUAAGACAAGAAGGCAAGUUUCAUUUAUGGAGCCAAAUAACAACAAUAAUAUUAAAACUAUUAUAUUUACACUAAAACAAACAACAAUAAGAAGUAAAAACUCAGGAUGCUCUAGGGUACUAAUGAACAGUGAAAAUUAUACUUAGAGCACCAAGUGUGCAAGAACAGAAACUAUUAAACAGAAGGGUCAUAGUUGUUCAAUUAAUUUUCAAUUAUAAACUAUUCCAGGCCAGUGAGCCUUACAUGUAGUGUGUAAUGUGUUCAAGAAAAUUAAUGAAUUAUUCUUGUCAACAGAAACUUGUGAAGAUUUUAAGUGUUUGUGUUAACCUAAAGACAUUACACGACAGAUUCCUUAGAACACUGUCUCCAAAAGGAUUCAGCAGACCUUAAAUACAACACUGAAUAAGAUUAAACACUGAGGAGUUCAUAUUUUGUUGCGUAUGCACUUUGUUGAGAGGUGUAAUGGUAUAGAGCACAUGUGACAAUCAAUACCAAUUUCUGGAUGAAAUUGUGCCUUUGAAAAGCAGAUCAAUGCUACCUCAACUGCAAUACCAAUGUUAACUGCACUUUAAAUAUGUGCAGGGUGCUGUGUGGAAGAAAUAUUCUUUGAAUUUUUUAAAAGGUUUUCCAAUGAGAUAUUUUUCGAAUUCUUCCACAUUUUCUGUAAAAAUGUAGUUUCUUUAAUGUACAAAUACAAUAUUUACUGCAUUUCUGAUAAAACAAGCUUAGUGAGAAACAAAUAUUGUUAAUUUUAAAAGCACUUUUUGUUAUAAGUCAGAAUUUGUACGAUUUGGGCCUUUUAAUAAACUUGUGCUGUUAUUUAUAGAUUUUUUAAGUUAUGUCAUUACUGUAUUGUUUCAUGGUAAGAUCUGGAAAUCUUGGUGUCAAA